rnacentral:rRNA from 1 species
CUUUUAUGGAGAGUUUGAUCCUGGCUCAGGACGAACGCUGGCGGCGUGCCUAAUACAUGCAAGUCGAGCGGUCCCUUCGGGGAUAGCGGCGGACGGGUGAGUAACACGUAGGCAACCUGCCUUCAAGACCGGGAUAACUAUCGGAAAC